AAUACUGCAGCACUCCGGUUCAACUAAUCAGGGUGAUCUAUGAUCAUGCUGCGUGGGAAGCCUCGAAAAAAAGUAAAAAGGUGUUGUUGAAAACAAUGGACAAUAAUAUAAAGAAAUACAUUUCUCUGGUUUCGGAUAUGAAUAAUCUCG